ACGCAGAGUUCUAAGAGAAUUCCAUGUGCUAAGGGAAAACAUUUACUGCUCAAUUUCCCUUUUUAUAAAUCAGGGGAGGAAGCAGAUCUAUAGAUCAGUGUCUUCAAACCAUACAUUCAAACUCACAUACAAAAUGUACAGGAACUAUAGAGAAACCAGGGGAGCAGAAAGAGGGAGAAAGGAAGAGCACUGCAUUGCAUCCUGCCAAAGGGCUGCCCCAGCCACACAGAGGCGCAGAAAUAGCUGAACUACCAGAACACGCUGGCCAUAUCCCCAGUACCAAGGGACUUUGCAAGGCAAUGCUAUGCUACCCAUACCAGGUCUACACCUGUCAGAAAUUUCCCAAAUGUCAGAGUAAUCCCAUUCCAUGCUUUAUGCAGGGUGGCUGUUUAGAUACUCUACUGAAAAAAAAAGAGGAAUUCUUAUCAGUAUACCACCAGUACGUGGAUCGAGCAGUUAGCAGUGCUCUGCUUUUUGCUGUUGUCUUUGCAAAUCUCUUCAAACAAGUAUUAUUCUCUCCAGAUACGCUUAAGUAUUCUGACCCCAUCUCAUGUGACUUAUGCUACAUUUGUAGUGAUAUAUUUAUCAGUUGCAACCUGGUAUCCUAGAAAUAAUGAAUUCAAGUAGCAAACUGUAACAAUAAGCCAAGGGAAGAGUUCACCAAGAUGUUCCAACAUAAAUGCUCUUGCAAGUUUAGUAAACAGAGCUAGAAAAUAGCAGUUGAGUUGUAUACUAUCUCUGUCAUAGCCAGAGAAGGACACAAAGAAGACAUUAGCACACUGAAAGUAAUACAUUCUGAUUCCGACAUCCCAUCUGAGUUGGAGCUACUUAAUUUAAGGAACAAAAAGAGACAUUUGAGUGUGUAAUGUUAUAACAUGAUGGAAUGUACAGCGAUAACAGCAGGGUGGCAAAGUCUCUGUCUACAGUAAAUGAGGACAAGCACAUCCACAGAUGCAGAAAUAAAGUUAAAGAGCUGCUUACCUUCAGAAAGGUUCAGGUAGGCAGGCAUCUCCAGCAAGAUACCUAUACCUCCACUGCCAACCCUUACAUGAGGUCUGAGAAGGGGUGCAUCCUACUCCGUGGUUUCUGGUCACUCAGGUAUGCAUGCACCUGAGCUCCCCUGGGUUGGCCCUGCCUUCCCACCAGGUGCUCAAUCAUUGCUUAAAGACAUCAUUUACCAUUUCUGCUACACUCUGCAAGUGUGACUUCAAGAAAAAAUCUAAAGCCUUUUCCUUGUUUCUACACGCUACCCACAUCCUCACUCAUCCCAAAUUAUCAAACAUCCAGGAACACUUGCAGCUGUUCAUCCUUGGUGCUUCCAUCUUGCAAAUACCAUCACUCACAAAACACAACUUCAUCAACCAAACUGCAAGCACUAAGGUGCUAUUUCCUGCUCAUUUUGGGGCCUGCAAUGCCUUUAUCGGUAUGGGUAAACAUUAAGUCUGAAUACUACCCAUACUCAAUUCAAGAGCAUUCUCUUUACAAUGGACUGCACAGAGAAGCAUUGCGCACAGCAGGCAAACUAACAGUCAUUCCCUGCCCACCAGUGUUUGCCACUGUUUGGAACGAAUGUAAUAUUCCCCCCCUAGGCUUCUGAUCAGUUACAUUAUCGGUUCAUUUGUGAGCCAGAAAGCACAAUGUGGCACAGAGCUCCAAGCUGGUACUUCUGCUUUCUUUGCUGCCCUUGUAAAAGCUACAAGAUGCGAUCAGCAUUUCAGGCUCUACACAGCUGGUACAGUCAGCAGCAGCUAAUUGCUGUUUAUAAAAUGCAGAACUGUGUGUUCCUGCAGCUACAAGUUACAUCACUCUUUGGCUGUGCCUGUUAUUUAUCAAGGCAACAAAUAAAGAACAAACACCCAAAACCACACCGUGAUACUUUAUAUGGGCUUGUAUGGGUCAGGGAGCGGCGAGGAGGAGCAAGGGUCUCAAGACACAGUUGCCAUCACCUUACCUCUGGGAACCUUCUGCUUCAGCCUUCCCACCUGAGCAGCGACCAGAUGGGCGCACAGAUACACUUAGUGGGCAGAUGGCUGCAAAUGCCCAAAAUAAUGAUAAUAAUAAUAAAAGAACUGCGAAAGGCCUCGACACCACGAGCAGGCCCGCUUCCCGCCGCUCCCUGCGGCUCUGAGGAGGCCGGGCAGGCGCGAGGGCGGCACGGGGCCGUUGGGCAGCACGCGCCUUUCCCGCCCAACCCUCAAGGAGCCCCUCCUCAGAGCGGCCCCCGCGCGGCGGUUUGAAUAAUGGCACUUAAAGCUGUUCAAAAGAACCAAGAAACACCGAGAUCUCUCUAUGACUAGAACAGUUCCACACCUUACAGUAUCCACUAGAAUAUUUUGUAGUACAGACAGAAGUUGUCUUACACUGCUGGCACGAACUUCUGCUGUUUCCCCACAGCCCAACCCAUUCCUCUACCAGAAUCUGACAUCAGUUUUAAAAUGAAGCAAAAUGUUAGACCUUGAGUUCUCAGAGUUUUCUUUGUCAGUCUGAGGAUUAGAAACAUAACUGGAUGUUGUCCCUCAUGUCUUUGCUUCUAAUUUCUCCUUAUUGUUUGAGGAAACCUCGACCUUGUGCUAAUGGAAGCUCCCAGCUGCUGGGGAACUUACAUCUCCUGUAGCAGGUGUUAAUUGUGGAGAGACUAACGAGCAGAUCCACUGCAGCUCCUUUUUCUGUGUGUUGAUGGAGUGGUUGGAUCAGAGCAACUUGAAGAACAGGAACAAUCCAGCAGUGACCUAAUCAAAUAUAUACCCCAGGACUUGGGCAGAUGAAAGGAAGCGUAGAGCUACUUGAGCAGUCUUCUGCAUCGCUGGACCCAGACCAGCCCCACUAUAAAACCUCAUGUGAGCAGCAAACUGAAGGCUACAUCUUUUCAAAAGAUCUGCAGCAAUUAGAAGCAGCUGGAGUUUAAUGAAGCACUGCAAGACUUUAUCUGCCUAAGACUCACCUAAGCACCCAGCCAAUGGUACUCUGCAUUUACAUUAUGACAGCUGUUGGUAUAGCUUUACAGAGCCUGUUUGCUAUUAAAAUAGUUUUAACUUACCCUAACUUUGCAGUUUUGAGUGAUAUUAUUUGGUACAUCUGUUUAAAUAUAUACUGCGAACUCUGAUUUAUUAGAAAAUGACAAAUGAAUAAGACAUUGCAAAAGCAUUUUUCUCUAUAAAGUAUUAUCUGCUAGAUCUCCUCUUUCCCUAUCAUCUCUACUUCUGUGGGACUUCCGUAUGACUGGUUGUUUUCAGAGGCAUAACCAAAAGUGUUAGCAAUAGAACUUCACUUAUUUCAAACUGUUAUAAUCUUAAACCAGCAAAAUAUCUGAAGUUUCUUUAGCUCAAAGUCAAGAUCAAAAUUGAUAAACGUGCUUUUGGCUCAAUCCCUUAGCAAAAACAUGGAAAACAGCUUGAAACACUUCUUUCUCCUACUGAACUUUCCCAAGGUAUUCUGGACCACAGUAAAAAGUCACACCAGGAAUAGUUGGAAUUGACUGGUGUGUUUUUGGAUACACUGAAUUGCAUGAUCAUAAAAAUCUCAAGCUAGAUACAAUUAACCUAAUUUUGGCCUCUUGAUUACGAGGGCAGUGCAAAUUAGUACAAAUUCUGUUUUCUAACUUGAGGCCAGCACCAGCUGUGAACUUCAGUAGGUUAACAACUCAUGGUUCUGGACCUCUGUGACUGGAACAUGUUGGCUGGCCUGCUGAGGAGUCCCUGUAGGCUCUCUGAAGUCAGUCAGGUAAGGAGAUUACAGCAGCAGUGUUAUGUUAAUCUAGAGAAGCAAACAGGCUGGACUGACAAAGUACAUAUGCACAGUGUUCAGCAUUACUGCAGAACUUGGUGACUGCACGGCUGUUCUGUGGACUUUGUGUACUCAGGAUUAACAGAGAUUACAGAGAAGUUAAAAAUAACUAAUAUGGGCAAGAAAGACACUUGCCAAAAUUGGAAGUAUUUCUACUUAUAUUCUAGAAGUGCAUAAUGAUUGCUAAUACUGAUGACUGAGCCUCCACAUUACCACUGCCUGCAUCUGCUCGUUCAUACAAGUGAGUGCGUGCUUCCCUGGAUGAAAGCAACAUCUGAAGGGAACUCUGUGGCAGAAGAUGCACUCUGAACUCUGACUGCAUUAUGAAAACAAUAAAACUGGGAAAAUAUACCUGCUAAAACUGACAUCUACUUCAGAUACUGCGUUCUGUUUUACUGAAUAUUUUUAUCCCUAUUUCUACUGCAAUGAGAGAUGAGCCUCAUCCCCCCAAAAAACUCUGCUUCUUGGCCAGUUAACUUCUAACAUUUAUAAUUAUCAAUUGUAAUGACUGCAAGGUUUUAAGGAAACUUAUUCUACAAAGACGGUGGCUGAGGCAGAAUCAAUACGAACAUUAGUUUCUAAAACAAAAAAUAUAUUAAUCCAAAACCAUGAAUUAUUUAGCAGAUGCUGAAAGCUGCUUCAGAUGCCUCAGCAUCAUGUGCUUCAGCACGUUCCUCUGUGCAUCAUAAUCAAAUUCCUUAAAAAAUGGUAGGGAUUUUUGUUGAUGGUUUCACUCAGGUUUUUGAACAGUCUUUGUACAUCGUGGUACAGGAAUAUUUCAGAAAGAAGCUAACAAUAGCUGUGCAGACAUCUCACUCAUGAGCUCUAGAGGGGACUGAAUUCAGUCAGAUGUUUUUCUCAGAGAUUUCAAUUAGCUGCGAGUUCAUUUCAUCUCUUCACACCAACACAAGCUUACCGCCUUAUGCUCAACUUGUGUCUACAAGAAAUUAUCCAUAAAUGUUUUAAGUUCUUGUUCUUGUACUUAAGACCAGCAGUAUAUCAGUUGCAUAAACCAUGAGCUCCAUUUUCCAAUACAAAGCUGGGAAGAUUGACCUAUUUCUGGCUAUUAGAAUCAUAGCUACUUCGCAAAUAAA